CCCCGCCCUCUGCCGACCCCGCCCCAGCCGCCGACCCCGCCCCCUGCCGCCGACCCCUCCCUCCAUUGACCCCGCCCCCCGCCGCCGACCCCGCCGCCGACCCCGCCCUCCGUUGACCCCGCCCCGCUACCGCCGCCCCCGCCCCCGCCCCCGCCCCCAGCUCGUCCCUCGGGACCCUGUCCCCGCCGCCUGCGCACCUCGACUCAUUGGCCAAAUACCCUAUUUUUUUUGAGGAAUUCCAGAACUAGACCCAGGGAUUGCCUACCAAUGAAGAGAAUGGGAAAUGCUGGAAAGCUAAUGGAUAUGCAGCAAAAUACAGUUUGCUUCUUGUAUCAUAAAACCAUGAUCAUCCUUAAGCAAAGUGAACCAUGUGUAUUGUCUCAGAUAUUCUAGAAACAAAGCUAGAGGCAAAGUUUAAAGUGUUAAUAGUUUGGGAAGUACAAUGCUAGGAUGGUGAAGAUGAGAAAAAUGAGAAAAAAAGGUAAGGAAAUGCAGCAGUAUGGUGCUAUAACCUUACUUACUGUCUGUGCUUAGAUAUGAACUGUAGAAAGGCACAGAAAGCUGGUCCUCAGUAGCUCAGCGUGUUCACUCAGCAUGUGAAUUUAUCUGGCAAGGUUGUUAGUCAAAGUAGGAUAUAGGAAGCUAACACUCCGGAUUGCAUCAUCUUGCCUCUCAGAGGUUGGAUGAAAAGCCAAACUGCAUACUCUACAGUAGGACAUUUCAUCUGAAUCUAGAGGGGAAUGGGUGAUUUGUUUCAUGUAGGCAAGAAACAGGAAGAGGUAGUUGAUAGAGGGAAUCUGAGAAUGUGCAUAGUGUAUUUACCCAAUAACCAUUCUUCCUGUUUGUUUCCAUAGUACUUAAUCCUAAUGACUGAAGGCUACAAUCCAUGGGUUUUAGCCCUUUAGGGUCCUUGAAAAGCUAUAUUGUUCCUCAUCCAUGUUUAGCAUAUUGCCUAUAACAUAAUAGAUACAAAGUAAAUAAUUGUUGAAUUAAUGGUGGAUUAUAUGAGAUAAAAAGCAAAGAGAGAUAGUAAUUCUCAAACAAGGAGUAGUUUAAACAGGUAUAGAUCUAGCUAUUGUGUUUAAGAACAGAAAAGAAGAUGAUAUCAAUCCUUUAUACCUUAGGCAGACCUUUGGUGCAGUUUGUCUCCAUUGUUAGGGAUUUUUACUCUUCAGAAUAUUUUCCCUCUUCUAUUUUAUUCAGAAUAGACACCAAGUAGAUUAUAGGGAAUAAAAUUGUCGAAAGCCUAUUUACCA
rnacentral:lncRNA from 12 species